rnacentral:rRNA from 1 species
AACGAACGCUGGCGGCAGGCCUAACACAUGCAAGUCGAACGAGAAACCACCUUCGGGUGGCGGACAGUGGCGGACGGGUGAGUAACGCGUGGGAACGUACCUUUUGGUGGGGGAUAGCUUCUGGAAACGGGAAUUAAUACCGCAUAAGCCCUUCGGGGGAAAGAUUUAUCGCCGAAAGAUCGGCCCGCGUUAGAUUAGGUAGUUGGUAGGGUAACGGCCUACCAAGCCUAUGAUCUAUAGCUGGUCUGAGAGGAUGAUCAGCCACACUGGGACUGAGACACGGCCCAGACUCCUACGGGAGGCAGCAGUGGGGAAUAUUGGACAAUGGGGGAAACCCUGAUCCAGCCAUGCCGUGUGAGUGAAGAAGGCCUUAGGGUUGUAAAACUCUUUUACCUGUGAAGAUGAUGACUGUAGCAGGAGAAAAAGCACCGGCUAACUUCG